rnacentral:rRNA from 1 species
AGCAGCAGCCGCGGGAAUACGAAGGGUGCAAGCGUUAAUCGGAAUUACUGGGCGUAAAGCGUGCGCAGGCGGUUUGUUAGGACAGAUGUGAAAUCCCCGGGCUUAACCUGGGAACUGCAUUUGUGACUGGCAAGCUAGAGUCUGGCAGAGGGGGGUGGAAUUCCGCGUGUAGCAGUGAAAUGCGUAGAUAUGCGGAGGAACAUCGAUGGCGAAGGCAGCCCCCUGGGCCAACACUGACGCUCAUGCACGAAAGCGUGGGGAGCAAACAGGAUUAGAUACCCCCGUAGUCCCUGUCUCUUAUAC